rnacentral:rRNA from 1 species
CAUUAGUUGCCAUCAUUUAGUUGGGCACUCUAAUGAGACUGCCGGUGCAAACCGGAGGAAGUGGGGAGUGACGUCAAGUCCUCAUGGCCCUUAUGGUAGGGCUUCACACGUCAUACAAUGGUCGGUACAGAGGGUUGCCAAGCCGCGAGGUGGAGCCAAUCCCUUAAAGCCGAUCGUAGUCCGGAUCGUAGUCUGCAACUCGACUACGUGAAGUCGGAAUCGCUAGUAAUCGCAGAUCAGCAUGCUGCGGUGAAUACGUUCCCGGGUCUU